UAAAUAGCUCCUGCGCGCCGUGCGUGUGUCACGUUCCCAUUACGUGCGCCGUACGCUGACGCACGGGGGCGGUGCGCUCCGUGACGCCAGCGCGUAUCCGGGCCAAGCUAUAAAUAACCUUCCGGCGGCCGGUGCCAGUGGCGGGCGGGCGCUGCCGCUGCUGCUCCCGGUGCCGCUUCCCGCGGGAGCCAGCGGCCCCGGCGGCCCAGCUCCCCUGAGGGGCUGUGGGCUGCGUGCGGGCAGGCCCAGCCCGGGCAGGCAGCUCACUCCUCUGUGAGGGCCGUACUGCGCUCGGGCAGCAGGUACUGCUGUCUCUGCCUCCGCCUUUCGCCCGGCGGCGUGACGGGCCCUGAGCGGUGGCAGUUCUCAGCCUGUUCGGAGUUCUGCAUCACGAAAUGUUAAAGGGCUUGGAAAGGACCUUAAAGGUCAACCAGCUCCAACCCCCCCUGCCAUGGGCAGGCGCAUCUCCCACCAGACCGGGCCACUCAAUGCCACAUCCAGCCUGGCCUGCGGCAUCCAUGUCUGCCCUGGGCAGUGUGUUUCACUUUCUCACAACCUCGCAGUAAAGAUUUUGUUUCACAUGUUUAACUCAUAGUUCCCCUUUUUUCAGUUUGAACCCAUUACUCCUUGUCCUAUCACUACAGCUCCUGAUAAAAAUUCCUCUGGUUUCCAUGUAGGCCCACUACACUUACUGGAAAGUUGCAAUGAGAUCUCCACGCAAUGUUCUUCUCACCUCCAGGCUGAACAGCCUCAAUAUUCUUAGCAUGUCUUUGCAGACAUACAAAUCAUUAUGUGCCCAAGUGUUGGCUGUCAGUAAUUCAGGAGUCACUCUGCAGGUGGCCUGAGUCCAUGUGCAGCCGAGAUGGGAGUACAUAGCAGAAGCUCUAACUUCAGUGCUGCUGUUCUCUCUCUAGUCUGAGACCCCAGGCAGGGUUACAGUAAUCUGUGUGUAUUUCGGCUGGUUAUUACAAACAUAGGCAAUGUAUUCCCAGCUAUACAGUGGGUGUCUCCUCAAUAGACUUAGCUGCAGCCAUCUCCCAAGAAAAUAGAAAUAUUCUAUUUUUUGGAUCCUUUUAGGUCCUGGAGAGAAGUGAAUGUUCUUAUAGCCUAGGCAAGUUCUUUAGCUGGUGGUCUGCUGUGUAGAAGUGGCUGUGAUGGCUGGUCUUUUUGUGUCAGCAGGCACUGGGCCCCCUGGGGCUAGGAGUGUAUGUAGCAAGAUAACUCAUUUUGCAAGCAGCUGUGCUGGCUGAAGAUGCAACUCUCCCCCAGCGAUUUGCUGCCGUUCCUCUGCCAGAGUUACCGCCCCCACAGCUCUUGAGUUGAUGUUGGAUAAGCAAGCAGCUGGAUGAACUGUACUAAUACUGCCUGAGGCGCCCUAAGGAGGAUUCCUGCAAUCCCUCUUGCUGACAGAGGUUUGGACUUGGCUGUCUGUGGCUGUCUGUGAUGGCAGCGCUGCAUGGCAAUAACACCUAUUGCAGUGACACUCAAAAGGAGAUGCCUGCCUGUCACUUUAGGCAUGGGACAACUUUCCCAUGAGUACAUGGGGUACCUGGGGUUCAGAGUGGGUACACAAAUCCUCAGGUCAGCCUGGUUGGUAACACUCCGGGUCUGUUCACAGCAGGGCUUUAUGCCAGGUAACCUCUUUGGGUGAGAGUGUAGGCAUGGACAGCGCGUUUGGCUUUCCUGUCUGGCCGUCUCACUUGCAUCCUAAGUGUAUAGGGUUAGGUUCAAAGAUAGGCCUGUCUGAAGAAUCUAAUGGAAAACAGUUCUGUAAAAAGAAAUUCAAUUCUAAUGCUUAGAUUAUUGCUAAAUGGUGUUAAAAUAAAUCAUUACAUGGUUUUGAUUGUAAGGUUUCUGAGUACAGGAACAUCACAGUUGUCUCUCAUACCCCUUACUGUUAGCACGAAGGUGUGCGUUUCUUCCAGAGUGACAUUGCAAAGCAGUAACAAAAUUUAAAUAGCAUAUUUACUUAAUAGAACUCUUCUAGUGCUUGGAGUUUCAGGAAAUCCAACCAUUUUAAUGGCUUUCUAGUGUGUGGUUUGUUGGCCUUCUUUGUGCUUCAUUUUGUAGAUUAACAUCUAAAACUUGAUUGGUUUGCUUUAAUUAAAAGUACUUGAUGUUACAUUUUUCUUGUCUUGUGCUUUUAUAUCAGUGGAGUUCAGCAAGCAACUUCUCUCACUUGCAGAAUUAGCCACUUUGGUGAUUUAGGGCUUCCACCAAGUUUUGUGCAUUUGGGGAGUUUUGUAUGUGUUUUCUGACCCUGGUAGAGUAGACAAAUUCAUUUCUGUCUGCAGAUAAAGUAAAAAUUUUACAACUAGUAGUGUGUUGAAUAGUGAUACUUGUAAUUUCUAAUUGCUAGUCAGCUUUUUAGGGCAUAUUUGACAGUAAUUUCUUGGACAAGUGUGAACAUUUUUAAAUCUCGCAGUGUUUUGGAUGUAUGUCCUCCUCUGAGGUACAUAGUCUGUUGGAACAUCAUGCAGAGACUACGUCAGCCUUCUACCAUCAUCUUUGAUGCUAAUACCAACUUCAGUUCUCAAGCAAAUGGUUUACUUCAGUAAAUGCAUUCAUGGAGAGAAACUCAGUGGUUCUGCAGUUACUUUCUCUGUAAGGAGGAGAAUUUUCCUACACCGAGAUGACUGCACAGAAAUGUUUCAUUUGUUGAAGUGAAGAAAAUUAAUUUAGAAGAACAUGUUUGGAUGGAAUAUAACAGCAUGCAUGAUUGUAUUAAAAUCCAGUUUGGUAUCUGAAUUACAAGCAACUGUGGCUUGUGCCUACCUGCUCAGCACCUCUUAGAAAAUACCAAGAAGUUGGCCCCAUGGAAAGUGUCUCCUGAAUCAGAACGAAGGCAGUAAGAGAGAGUCUGGAGUUAAAACUUCUGCCUACAACCAAGUUCUGAGAAUUGGUGUCGUGACUCCCAUCUUCAAAAAAAGCACAAUAAUUAGAUAACAAGGAAAUUAGUCCAUAUACAAGCAACAAAGAUGCUUCAUGCAAGUACUUUUCACAGUUAAUAGACAAUGCUAAGUGGUUUUUAACUCUUAAAAUAAUAAUAAAAAAUAUCUGGUAU